rnacentral:tRNA from 1 species
GCCGAGGUGGCGGAACCGGCAGACGCGCUGGCUUCAGGAGUCAGUGAGCACAAGCUCGUGAGGGUUCAACUCCCUCCCUCGGCA